rnacentral:rRNA from 1 species
GAUGAACGCUGGCGGCGUGCCUAAUACAUGCAAGUCGAGCGAACAGACGAGGUGCUUGCUCCUCUGACGUUAUCGGCGGACGGGUGCGUCACACGUGGAUAACCUACCUCUCCGACUGGGAUAACUUCAGGAAACAAGAGCUACUACCGGAUAAUAUAUUGCACCGCAUGGUUCAAUAGUUAAAUACGGUUUUGCUGUCACUUAUAGCUGAAUCCGCGCCGCAUUAGCUAGUUGGUACGGUAAAGGCUUACCAAGGCAACGAUGCGUAACCGACCUGAGAGCGUGGACGGCCAGCUGGUAACUGAGAAACGGUCCAGACACCGACGGGAAGCAGCAGUAGGGAAUCUUCCGCGAUGGGCGAAAGCCGGACGGAGCAACGCCGCGUGAGGGAUGAAGGUCUAAGGAUCGGAAAACUCUGUUAUUAGGGAAGAACAAAUGUGUAAGUAACUAUGCACGUCUUGACGGUACCGAAUCAGAAAGCCACGGCUAACUACGUG